AUACGGAGGGAGCGAGCGUUAAUCGGAAUUACUGGGCGUAAAGCGCGCGUAGGCGGCUUUGUAAGUCGGAUGUGAAAGCCCUGGGCUCAACCUGGGAAUUGCACUCGAUACUGCAGAGCUAGAGUAUGGUAGAGGGAAGUGGAAUUUCCGGUGUAGCGGUGAAAUGCGUAGAGAUCGGGAGGAACACCAGAGGCGAAGGCGGCAACCUGGACAGAUACUGACACUCAACUCCGAAAGCGUGGGUAGCAAACAGGAUUAGAAACCCCGGUAGUCC
rnacentral:rRNA from 1 species